GGGUUGGAGACGGAGUGACAGGGCGCUCUGUCAUCCUGGGGGCGGGGUGGGGGGGAGCGGGAGAUAGUCGCCGCCCUCCCUCCUCCCCCCGCCCCCUCCCUCCUCACUAGGACCCUGGGGUCCCCAGUACACUGGCCGUGGCGGCCUAGGGGCCAGACCCUCUCAGGAUAGCGCUGGGGGGGCCCUGCGGGGCGCAGCGGGAGAGAAGCCCGACGGAGCCGCGCUCCCCCCUCCCCGCGCCCCACGGCCACCGGGGGCCUGCACUCCAUAGAGGCUCCUCCUCCGCCUCCCCGCGGAAGAAUGGGCCGUUCGCCUGCGCGCCCGGCGGGGCUCAGCUCUGGCGGCUUCCUUCCUCCCGGUGGAGCCCUGGGAACUGUCCGACAGCUGGACGGCCGUCCCCGGUGGCGGGAGGCCGGGGUCGGGGGAAGGAUGAGAGAGAAGUCACAAGUAGGCAGA